GGAGAAAGCGCCAAACGCUCCGGCGCCGCAGGAUGCGACUGCGGCCGAUUAGGUAGACGGUGGGGUAACGGCCCACCGUGCCGAUAAUCGGUACGGGUAGUGAGAGCUAGAGCCCGGAGACGGACUCUGAGACAAGAGUCCGGGCCCUACGGGGCGCAGCAGGCGCGAAACCUUUACACUGCGCGACAGCGCGAUAGGGGGACCCCAAGUGCGAGGGCAUACAGUCCUCGCUUUUUCCGACCGUAAGGUGGUCGGCGAAUAAGAGCUGGGCAAGACCGGUGCCAGCCGCCGCGGUAAUACCGGCAGCUCGAGUGAUGGCCGCUAUUAUUGGGCCUAAAGCGUCCGUAGCCGGCUAGACAGGUCCGUCGGGAAAUCCACCCGCUCAACGGGUGGGCGUCCGGCGGAAACCAGCUAGCUUGGGACCGAGCGACCUGAGGGGUACGUCUGGGGUAGGAGUGAAAUCCCGUAAUCCCGGACGGACCAUCGGUGGCGAAAGCGCCUCAGGAGAGCGGAUCCGACGGUGAGGGACGAAAGCUAGGGUCUCGAACCGGAUUAGAUACCCGGGUAGUCCUAGCCGUAAACGAUGCUCGCUAGGUGUGGCGCUGGCUACGAGCCAGCGCUGUGCCGUAG
rnacentral:rRNA from 1 species